UAUUGAAACUUCGGUCGAUUUAAUUUGAUUCUAGUGGCGGACGGGUGAGUAACGCGUGGGUAACCUGCCUUAUACAGGGGGAUAACAGUCAGAAAUGGCUGCUAAUACCGCAUAAGCGCACAGAGCUGCAUGGCUCAGUGUGAAAAACUCCGGUGGUAUAAGAUGGACCCGCGUUGGAUUAGCUAGUUGGUGGGGUAACGGCCCACCAAGGCGACGAUCCAUAGCCGGCCUGAGAGGGUGAACGGCCACAUUGGGACUGAGACACGGCCCAGACUCCUACGGGAGGCAGCAGUGGGGAAUAUUGCACAAUGGGGGAAACCCUGAUGCAGCGACGCCGCGUGAAGGAAGAAGUAUCUCGGUAUGUAAACUUCUAUCAGCAGGGAAGAUAGUGACGGUACCUGACUAAGAAGCCCCGGCUAACUACGUGCCAGCAGCCGCGGUAAUACGUAGGGGGCAAGCGUUAUCCGGAUUUACUGGGUGUAAAGGGAGCGUAGACGGUGUGGCAAGUCUGAUGUGAAAGGCAUGGGCUCAACCUGUGGACUGCAUUGGAAACUGUCAUACUUGAGUGCCGGAGGGGUAAGCGGAAUUCCUAGUGUAGCGGUGAAAUGCGUAGAUAUUAGGAGGAACACCAGUG
rnacentral:rRNA from 1 species